rnacentral:rRNA from 1 species
AUGGAGGAAGGGAUCGGGUGGCUAGCGCUGGCCAUCCUCUCAAGCCCCCUGAUCGACAAGCAUGAUCCCUGGGUCAGCGAAGCCGGGCUCGCAGAGGAGAUGGAGGGCCUCAAGUCUGAGAUCAAGGGAGUCCACAUGGUGGUCUCUGCUGUGAAGGGAAGGGCGCUCGGGAACGAGGCACUGGCUGGAUCUCUUGUUCAUCUCAAGGAGGUGCUCUACGACGCGGGAAACCUGGUCGACGACCUCAACUACUACAGGCUCCAACAAGGCAAGCCUGCUUCGAUCGAUCCAACAAGUAGCAGCCGUGGCAAGAGGCUACGGUCCAAGGCGUGGGACCAUUUCGUCGUGACAAGAGAUGGUAAUGACAACCCUGUGCACGCAGAAUGUAAAUACUGUCACACCAUAGUACAAUGUAAGACUAAAUACGGGACAGGAGUUUUGUCAAGGCAUGUCAAAAGUGCUAGCUGUAUGGAAAUAACCCGAGCCCUACCAAGUCACCAACCACAAGACUCGUCCUCAAGCAUAAGCAAUGUUACUGGAGAAGCCAUGCCUGUUUCAGUUUGUAAUUCAUCCAGCAGAAAAAGGAUGAGAAUUGGUCAUGAGUCAACACAAGUCACCACAGAUAACACAAACCUCUGGAACAAGGACGGAUUUUCGAGCAGGUUACGAGGAUUAAUUAAUCAGUUGCAAGGCAUCCAAGGGGAUGUGAGAAGAGUUCUGAAUAUACCUGUGCUAGAUUCUGUUGCAGCUUCAAAUCACCGUUGGAGUACAACCUAUGAUACAUGCCGAAGAACAUCGAGUCUUCAUCAAAGGAAAAUGUACGGGAGAUUUGCAGAGAAGAAAUUUAUUAUCAAGUUGAUAAGCCAACACAAAUCAGCUGGUGGUGUCACUGUUCUGCCUAUUCUAGGCAUCGGAGGAAUUGGGAAGACAGCUCUCGCUCAACUUGUAUACAAUGAUCCAGCAGUGGAAAAUCAAUUUGACCACAAGAUAUGGAUUUGGGUUUCUAACAACUUUGAUGAAGUGAGGCUCACAAGGGAGAUGUUAGAUUUUGUGUCACAAGAAACACAUGGAGGGCUUUGCAACCUUGCCAAGCUUCAGGAGAUCUUGAAGGGUAGUAUCAAGUCAAAGAGGAUUCUACUUAUUUUAGAUGAUGUCUGGGAUGACAAAAAUGACUGCCAGUGGGACCAGCUGUUGGCUCCUUUUAAGUCUGACAAUGCAAACAACAAUUUGAUACUAAUGACAACUAGAAAACCAUCUGUUGCCAAAAGGAGAGGAACGGCUGAACCAAUUAAGUUAGGUCCGUUGGAAAAAGAUGAUUUCUGGUUAUUGUUUAAAGCACACGCAUUUGGUGAUGAGAACUACGAAGAGCAAGAAAGUCUAAGUGGCAUAGGACAGAAAAUAGCACAAAAGUUAAAAGGAAACCCAUUAGCGGCACAAACUGCAGGAGCACUAUUAAGAGAGCAUCUCACCGUUGAACAUUGGACUAACGGUCUGAAGAAUGAAGAUUGGAAAUCCCUGCACCUCAGUAGUGGCAUUAUGUCAUCUUUGAAGCUCUGCUAUGACGAGCUGCCCUUCCCAUUACAGCAGUGCUUCUCAUAUUGUUCUAUAUUCCCAUACGGUUAUCAGUUUCCCGCCGAGGAGUUAGUCUGUAUGUGGAUUUCACACGGAUUUGUGAAGCUAGACGAUUCAAGUGCGAGUUUAAAGGAUACGGGAUGGUACUAUCUAACUGACUUGGUGAACCUGGGCUUCUUUGAGCAAGUCAUCUCUUCGGUGAGACAAACUUCCUAUUCCAUUAGUGGUCUCAUGCAUGAGUUUGCAAGGGUUGUUUCAAGAAGGGAGUGUGCAACAAUAGAUGGUAUAUAUUGCAAUGAAAUAUUGCCAACCGUACACCAUUUGUCAAUACUAACUGAUUCAGUAUAUUCCAUGGAUGAUCAGAUGAGCAACAUACCUUGUACCAAGAUGUUUGAAGAAAAAAUGAGAAGUUCAUUUACAUCAGUGACAAAAUUGAGGUCAUUGGUGUUAAUUGGGCAGUAUGACUCUUUCUUCUUCAAAGCCUUCCAAGAAGUAUUCCAAAAGGAACAUCAUUUGCGAGUGCUGCAUUUGUCUGCAACAUCUGCUGAUUUUCAUUCCUUCUUGUCUAGUAGGGUAAAUCAUAGACAUCUCCAGUAUCUGAAACUUCAGGACAGUCAUGUUGAGUUGGGUUCCUCGCCUCAAGUUUCGAGCAAGUGUUUCAAUCGAGUGUUAGAUGGUUGGCUUACCUCUUUACAAACAAUUCAUCUAGAGAACUGUGGAGAAUGCUGGAUGGUUCCAUCACUGAAAAGGCUUCCGUCUCUUACAAGGUUAUUUUUGAGAAACAUGCAGAAAGUAAGAGAAGUAUCGUUUCCGUCAUUGGAGGAGCUAGUUUUAGUUGAAAUGUCAGAGUUGGAGAGUUGUGUCUGCACUUCUUUGGGAGAUAUGAACUCUAGUUUAAGGCUAUUGGAUAUCCGAAAUUGCCAUGCACUCAAGAUGUUUGAUUUGCUUGAGAAACAUCAUAGCUUCAAAAUGAAGAAGGGUUCAUGGUUGCCCAAUCUUAGGAAGUUCAUUGUUUGCGAUUGUCCUCACUUGGAAGUAGUGGUCCCUCUUCGGCCUUCAGCCACAUUUUCUGAACUUUUAAUCAGCAGAGUUUCAACAUCUCUGACGAUGGACGAAUUUUACAUGGAAACAUUCGAAAUUAGGCCAAAUAGUCUUUUGGGUGAGUCAUUUGGUGAGAUGAGACUGGAUGAAAAAAUCUUGGCAUUCCAUAAUCUGAGGGACCUCAAAUGCUUGGAAAUAAAUUCAUGCUGGAAUCUGACGUCUAUUCCACUAAUAAGUUUUCAUCAGCUCGUAUCUUUAGAGAGUUUGACAAUAGGGCACUGCACAAAACUCUUCUCUUCAGAUGUUGUGUCAGCGCACACCCAUGAAGACAUGAUAGCUGCAGAUUAUAUAGCUCUACCAUGUCUUGAAAGUCUCAGUAUUUUUUCAUGUGGAAUAACAGGGAAGUGGCUAUCUCUGAUGCUUCGACAUGCGCCGGCAGUGAAGAAAUUGAUGUUAAAUGGCUGUCCAAAGUUGACACAGUUACGGAUAGAAGAGGAAGAAAACGGCCAGUCGAAUCUCAACCCAGCCUCGGAGGCUUCAUCAUCAGGAUAUCAAAAUGGUUUGUCAGCAAGCUCAGAUCCAGACGGUUUGUGGUGCAUUCCGUCGAAUCUCACCACCUCUCUCAAAACUAUAACUAUUGAAAGAUGCCCUCAUCUAAUAUUUGACGGGAGCAGGAAAGGUUUCUCCAGAGUUACCUCCCUCAAGGAACUACAAAUACUCGGGGGAUGCCCCAAGAUGCUCUCGUCUUUCGUGCACAGAAAACUGCUCCUACCGCAAUCACUUGAACAAAUUGCAAUAUAUGAGUAUCCUCAGGAAACCAUUCAGCCGUACUUUCUGAAUAACCGUACGUGCCUCAAAAAGAUACACUUAUUUUAUAGCUCAGCUUUGAAUUCUCUAAUGCUGCACUCCUGUACAUCGUUGGAAGACUUGACAAUUAGAGAAUGCAAAUCACUCACUGCAUUACAUGGCAUGGAAUCGCUCAGGACUCUCAGGGCUUUGGCACUAUAUUGGAACUCAAGUUUGGAGCUUCUAGAGCUGAAACCCUUGACACUGCUGGAAGAUCUUGAGAUUGUGCACUGUACUUUGCUCGCCCCACUAGAGGGCUUGCGAUCCCUCGUGAACCUCAGGCAUUUCAAAGUAGUCGGAUCCCUGACAGGGUUUGGAGAGAGUUGUGAUGGGACCAUUUUCCCUAAACUGGAAAGUCUUACUAUCGAUAUGUUGUCUUGCCUUACCACGCCAUUCUGCAAGGGCCUCACCUGCCUCCAACGACUAAAGCUAUAUGAUUUGAAAGAAGCAAGGUUAACAGAUGAGCAAGAGAAGGCACUUCUGCUCCAUAGGUCCCUGCAGGAUCUCCAUUUUCUCAACUGUGAUGACCUGGUACAUCUUCCGGCGAGGCUGCACAGCCUUCCUUCCCUCAAGAGGUUAAAGAUCGUAUGGUGUCCACGCAUCUCAGAGCUACCCAAGGAGGGCCUCCCACCUUCGCUGGAGAAACUUGUUAUAGUAUGUUGUGAUGAUCUGGAAGAUCUUCCUGCAGAUCUGCACAGCCUUCCUUCCCUCAAGAAACUGAAGAUCGAGUGUUGUAAGGGCCUCUCGCGGCUGCCCAAGGAGGGCCUCCCACCCUCGCUGGAACAGCUCGAGGUCGAAGACUGCAGCAGCAAGCUCUCAAAACAAUGCAGAUUGCUAGAAACAAGAAUGCUAAAGGUCAAGAUUGAUGAGCCCUUUUUGGGAUGA